rnacentral:rRNA from 1 species
UACGUAGGCAGCAAGCGUUGUUCGGAGUUACUGGGCGUAAAGGGUGUGUAGGCGGUUGUUUUAAGUUUGGUGUGAAAUCUCCCGGCUCAACUGGGAGGGUGCGCCGAAUACUGAAUGACUUCGAGUGCGGGAGAGGAAAGUGGAAUUCCUGGUGUAGCGGUGAAAUGCGUAGAUAUCAGGAGGAACACCGGUGGUGUAGACGGCUUUCUGGACCGUAACUGACGCUGAGACACGAAAGCGUGGGUAGCAAACAGG